rnacentral:rRNA from 1 species
UGGGGAAUUUUGGACAAUGGGCGAAAGCCUGAUCCAGCAAUGCCGCGUGUGUGAAGAAGGCCUUCGGGUUGUAAAGCACUUUUGUCCGGAAAGAAAUCCUUGGCUCUAAUACAGUCGGGGGAUACGGUACCGGAAGAAUAAGCACCGGCUAACUACGUGCCAGCAGCCGCGGUAAUACGUAGGGUGCAAGCGUUAAUCGGAAUUACUGGGCGUAAAGCGUGCGCAGGCGGUUUGCUAAGACCGAUGUGAAAUCCCCGGGCUCAACCUGGGAACUGCAUUGGUGACUGGCAGGCUAGAGUAUGGCAGAGGGGGGUAGAAUUCCACGUGUGAGCAGUGAAAUGCGUAGAGAUGUGGAGGAAUACCGAUGGCGAAGGCAGCCCCCUGGGCCAAUACUGACGCUCAUGCACGAAAGCGUGGGGAGCAAACAGGAUU